AUUGAACGCUGGCGGCAUGCCUUACACAUGCAAGUCGAACGGUAACAGGUCUUCGGAUGCUGACGAGUGGCGAACGGGUGAGUAAUACAUCGGAACGUGCCCGAGAGUGGGGGAUAACGAGGCGAAAGCUUUGCUAAUACCGCAUACGAUCUCAGGAUGAAAGCAGGGGACCGCAAGGCCUUGCGCUCACGGAGCGGCCGAUGGCAGAUCAGGUAGUUGGUGGGAUAAAAGCUUACCAAGCCGACGAUCUGUAGCUGGUCUGAGAGGACGACCAGCCACACGGGGACUGAGACACGGCCCAGACUCCUACGGGAGGCAGCAGUGGGGAAUUUUGGACAAUGGGCGCAAGCCUGAUCCAGCCAUGCCGCGUGCAGGAUGAAGGCCUUCGGGUUGUAAACUGCUUUUGUACGGAACGAAAAGACUCUGGUUAAUACUUGGGGUCCAUGACGGUACCGUAAGAAUAAGCACCGGCUAACUACGUGCCAGCCGCCGCCGUAACAC
rnacentral:rRNA from 1 species